rnacentral:rRNA from 1 species
AAGCGCUUGCAACCAGACUUGCGCGCGAUGGUUCCCCCUUCCUUCUGGUUGGGCUACUCCGUCGUGUCCAGGCCAACAUCGGUUUUGACGGCCGGUUAAAGGCCUUGGGAAUGUAUCUUCCUCCGGGAAGACUUAUAGCCCAGGGCGCCAUGCGGCCCGCCGGGACCGAGGAACGCGCUUCGUGCUCGGAUGUUGGCGUAAUGGUUGUCAGCGA